rnacentral:tRNA from 1 species
GGCUCCAUAGCACAAUUGGCAGUGCGACCGGCCGAUUACCGGUUGAUGCAGGUUCGAGUCCUGCUGGAGCUACCA